UAUAUGGCUCCAUAUAUGACAUGCUCUUUUAGGCUGAAUCUGCAUCAUAUAUAUAUGGCUCCAUAUAUGACAUGCUCUAUAGUGAUGUGGAGCUGCUGUGCUUUGACUAGUAUGUACUUGUAACCAAUAUGAAUUGAUACGACAUACUCACUAGUCUUGUAAAAAUAUUGGCAAGGAAUUUGAACAGAAGGUACGAUGAUCCCAUUCUGCUCUUUUAGGCUGCAUUGCCCUUUGCUCUCUCAUGGCUGCAUGUUCAUCUGAUACUUCUAUGUUGGGUGUGGUAUGAGUGGAUCAUCUAGUAUAAUUGACACUAGGAGGUUGACUAAAAUGACCACAAAGUUGUUACAUUGGAUCACAAAAGGUGAUAUACACAUGCAGGUAUUAAAUGUUUAAGUGUUUACUAGGGCUAAUCUUACAGCCAACCUAAAAGGGCUUCAUAAGUGACGUGGAGGUAGUUUAAAGCCAGCAGCAGACUGAGCUACUAACGAUGCUCAUUGAGUGACUGCACUUCCACAUUUUUAGUAACUGCAAGGAGCAGCUUACUAUUGUACGGGGAGGCUGACUUGUACGGGGAACAGUUUGCUUGGGAGGCGCUGAAGAUGCACGGCAACAUCUACUGGAUAACGAGGACGCCACACAGAGCUGGGAGGUAGCCUUGCAAUCCUUGAUGCCUCUUACUCCUAAUCUUGCAACUUGUACUGCCGCAUUGUGUGAAUAUAUGAGCUCGUCACCAAUGGAAACGCAUCAAGAUAAGCCUCAUCCAUAUACAUCUUCCAGCACUUCCUACUCACAGUUGAGUUGUGUAUUUGUUGUGUUAUGAAGAAACACGCAUCCUAACCUACCUUCUUCAACUCUUAAGGAGGUUAGCUAUGGCCUUCACUGACCACAGUGCUGGGACUGUGGCACCCGAAAUCACUCUCUAGUGGUCUACCGACCAUCCUACCUCCUAUUAGUAUCUUGAGACACUGCAGAUAUAUAUAGGUCCAUGUCACAACUCACAACUCACGACUAUUAUUAAAUGAAGGACAUGGUUGGUCAGAGAACUCCGAUUCUCUUUAUAUCAAGAACUUCUCAUGAUUCCCCCACAAAAUAAAAACAAAAGCUUUUGCAUGAUUGCAGCAUCUUAUGAGUUGUAACCCAAAAACGUACAAAAAGGAAAUCACACGAUCAUUUAAAUGAUCAAAGGACUCGCUAAGUAACCAUUUACAACAAAAACCAACAAUUUAGAUGGAUUCUCCUAAAAACGCCCAAUCUAAUUUAUCUAUGAUUAUGCAAGGUAGCCUUCCUUGUUUGCAUAUAAUAUGCCCAACUUUACA
rnacentral:lncRNA from 1 species